AUUGAACGCUGGCGGCAGGCCUAACACAUGCAAGUCGAACGAGUGGCGGACGUGUGAGUAACGUCUGGGAAACUGCCUGAUGGAGGGGGCAAACUACUGGAAACGGUAGUUAAUACCGCAUACCAUCGGAUGUGCCCAGAUGGGAUUAGCUAGUAGGUGGGGUAACGGUCGACCUAGGCGACGAUCCCUAGCUGGGCUGAGAGGAUGACCCGCCACACUGGAACUGAGACACGGGCCAGACUCCUACGGGAGGCAGGAGUGGGGAAUAGUGAACAAUGGGCGCAAGGCUGAUGCAGCCAUGCCGCGUGUAUGAAGAAGGCCUUCGGGUUGUAAAGUACUUUCAGCGAGGAGGCGUUACUCGCAGAAGAAGCACCGGCUAACUCCGUGCCAGCAGCCGCGGUAAUAC
rnacentral:rRNA from 1 species